rnacentral:ribozyme from 1 species
UAACCGAUAAACAAGGAAAGUUCAGUUUUUUUCUUUUUUUUUUUGACUUCUCGGUCGUAUGAAGCAAGAAGAAAAAAGAAA